CCUACAAAACGAUGAGAUAAAAGGGGCUUAUACAGGUUCGGGCCGCUGAGAAGCGUAAUACCCUACUCCUGUGCUAUGCUGAUUGUGGG
rnacentral:snoRNA from 1 species